rnacentral:rRNA from 1 species
AUGACGCUGGCGGAUGCUUUACACACUGCAGUCGAACGGCAGCACGGACUUCGGUCUGGUGGCGAGUGGCGAACGGGUGAGUAUACAUCGGAACGUGCCCAGUCGUGGGGGAUAACGUAGCGAAAGCUACGCUAAUACCGCAUACGAUCUAAGGAUGAAAGCGGGGGAUCGCAAGACCUCGCGCGAUUGGAGCGGCCGAUGGCAGAUUAGUAGUUGGUAGGGUAAAGGCCUACCAAGCCGACGAUCUGUAGCUGGUCUGAGAGGACGACCAGCCACACUGGGACUGAGACACGGCCCAGACUCCUACGGGAGGCAGCAGUGGGGAAUUUUGGACAAUGGGCGAAAGCCUGAUCCAGCCAUUCCGCGUGCAGGAUGAAGGCCCUCGGGUUGUAAACUGCUUUUGUACGGAACGAAAAGGUCCUGGUUAAUACCUGGGGCUCAUGACGGUACCGUAAGAAUAAGCACCGGCUAACUACGUGCCAGCAGCCGCGGUAAUACGUAGGGUGCAAGCGUUAAUCGGAAUUACUGGGCGUAAAGCGUGCGCAGGCGGUGAUGUAAGACAGAGGU